rnacentral:rRNA from 1 species
CAGCAACCGCGGGAAUACGAAGGGGGCUAGCGUUAAUCGGAAUUACUGGGCGUAAAGCGUGCGCAGGCGGUUCGUUAAGACAGAUGUGAAAUCCCCGGGCUUAACCUGGGAACUGCAUUUGUGACUGGCGAGCUAGAGUAUGGCAGAGGGGGGUAGAAUUCCACGUGUAGCAGUGAAAUGCGUAGAGAUGUGGAGGAAUACCGAUGGCGAAGGCAGCCCCCUGGGCCAAUACUGACGCUCAUGCACGAAAGCGUGGGGAGCAAACAGGAUUAGAUACCCCUGUAGUCCCUGUCUCUUAUAC